rnacentral:rRNA from 1 species
UAAGACGAAGGGGGCUAGCGUUGUUCGGAAUUACUGGGCGUAAAGCGAGUGUAGGUGGUUUUCCAAGUUGGAUGUGAAAGCCUUGAGCUCAACUCAAGAAAUGCAUUCAGGACUGGGAGACUAGAGGACCGGAGAGGAUAGUGGAAUUCCCAGUGUAGUGGUGAAAUACGUAGAGAUUGGGAAGAACACCAGUGGCGAAGGCGGCUAUCUGGACGGUUUCUGACACUAAGACUCGAAAGCGUGGGGAGCAAACAGGAUUAGAUACCCUGGUAGUCCACGCCGUAAACGAUGGGUGCUAGACGUUGGCGGGCUUGCUCGUCAGUGUCGCAGCUAACGCGUUAAGCACCCCGCCUGGGGAGUACGGCCGCAAGGUUGAAACUUAAAUGAAUUGACGG